UAGUUUUGCACUGUUUUUAAUGGGUUUUCUUAAUUCUGUUACCAUUGCAUCGACUCUGUUGGACCAGAAGCUCAGUAUAUACAGUUCCAUGAAUUCCAUGUGCUGUAGUCUUCAAGGAGGUAACCGGGUUUAACAAAAAAUGGUUCAGGAUAAUUCAGAGCAACCUAAGAAUAAUGGAACUGAUGUAACAAUUACAUAGGUGUACAAGCGAACUAGUGUGAUGUGAUAAGAAGAAAUCAUUCCCUAGGUUUUCACCAUGUUUUAAAUACAAAAAAAAGAACUUGCGAUUGGCACCUUGUAGGAAUACUAAACAAAACUUGGACGAAAACUACAUACGGACAUCUUCUGCUAUAUUUUACAAACUACAAUCGACAUUCAAAUAAUGGCAACAAAGGAGCAGAAAAGCAGUACUUCUAUUCUUCUUGUAACAGCUAACGUUGGAAGCAUUUUCGAGGAUGUAAGUAAAAAAUAAAUUAAAUGUAGCCGAUGUA